AAUUGAUUAGUUUAUAUAAAACGAUUGUUUUGAAAACACUAGAAGACACCCGUCCUCAAUUU
rnacentral:tRNA from 1 species